rnacentral:rRNA from 1 species
CGCACGAGCGUACCCCUGGUCUUCAGUUGCCAGCGGAUCAUGCCGGGGACUCAUGGGGGACUGCCGGUGAUAAACCGGAGGAAGGUGGGGACGACGUCAAGUCAUCAUGGCCCUUACGCCCAGGGCUACACACGUGCUACAAUGGCCGGUACAAAGGGCUGCAAUCCCGCGAGGGGGAGCGAAUCCCAAAAAGCCGGCCUAAGUUCGGAUUGUAGUCUGCAACUCGACUGCAUGAAGGCGGAAUCGCUAGUAAUCGUGUAUCAGCAACGACACGGUGAAUACGUUCCCGGGCCUUGUACACACCGCCCGUCAAGCCAUGGAAGCCGGGAGUGCCCGAAGUCCGUGACCUAACCUAGUGAGGGAGCGGCCGAAGGUAAGUUCGGUGACUGGGGCUAAGUCGUAACAAGGUAGCCGUAGGGGAACCUGCGGCUGGAUCACCUCCUUU